rnacentral:lncRNA from 1 species
UUUUAUUCGAUUUUAUUUUUUAACUAAAUAUUAUUAAAUAAAUAUUUUAUCAUUAUUUUAAACAUGGCCAGGCUGUAUCCAGAACUUCUCCAGUGAAAUCCCUAAUUUACCCUUUUCACUGUCGGCCCGCUGAAUAACCUCUCCGACCGAUUGCUUGCACCGCUCUGAACUUCGAACCAUUUCGCGAAACACUAAUCUCAUCGGCGAAGAACCGGGAAUCGCGGUGCUUCCAUAUCGGCGGUACUGAAAGGGAAUGGUUGCAGAGUGAGGAACAAGGGAAUUUGGCGACGAGGUUAUUGGUCUCCGCAUUUAAACUUGCUUGUAUACACAUAGGAAGACAAACGAAAGAAUUAAUUGCUAUAUACGUAUUUCUCGUUUCUGUUUUUUUUUUUGUAUGAAUAGGAAGCUAUUUUAUGCUUUUUAGACUUGUGGAUUUACUGUGAAAUUGGAUAAAAAUGGUUAAUUGAUUUACUGGGUGCAGUUCAUUAUGUGGGUAGUUCGCUUGAUGGGACCAAGC